rnacentral:tRNA from 1 species
GAAAAAAUAAGCUAAUAAUUAAAGCUAACGGGCUCAUAACCCGUCUAUGAGAUUAAUCUCUUUUUUCA